UAACCACUCAAGCCUCGGCUUGGUCUUGGGGUCCCGCGGUCUCGCGGCCCUUAAAAUCAGUGGCGGUGCCGUCUGGCUCUAAGCGUAGUAAUUCUCUCGCUAUAGGGUUCAGGUGGUGGCUUGCCAAAACCCCCCAUUUUUCUAU
rnacentral:misc_RNA from 1 species